CCCUAAUAAAACAUUUGUAUGGUUGAUGUCAGAGAAUGUUUUGCCUAUAUUCUCUUCUAGGAGUUUUAUGGUGUCAUGUCUUAUGUUUAAAUCUUUAAGCCAUUUUGGGUUUGAGUUUAUUUUUGUGCAUGGUUCCUUAGAAAGAUCUCUUUCUCUUGAAAAGGCAGUAAACAGUAAGUGGGAAAAGGAACUUCUGAGUAAAUGUUAGAAAGAGAAAGGAGGGAGGGAGGGAAAGAGAAGAAGAAAGGCAAGGAAGGGAAGAAGGACUGGAAUCUAUAUGUAUUUUACACAUCUUUGUGAACAUGGAGAAAAGGGUAGAAAAAUAUAUUCCAUUGGCUUCCUUAGGGGAGUACAAUGUAAAGAGGGUAGAUUAUGAACUUUUUGAAAAAUGCUAUUCAUUUUUGUGUUUCUCUACAACAAAGUGAUUAAUUUUAAGAAGGACAAAAGAAGUUCCCAUUGUGGCUCAGCAGGUUAAGAAUCUGGCUAGUAUCCAUGAGGAUGUGGGUUCAAUCCCAGGCCUCGUUCAGUAGGUUAAAGGAUCUGGCAUUGUCGUGAGCUAUGGCGUGGAUCAUGGGUGCAGCUUGGAUUUGGCAUCACUAUGACUGUGGUGUAGGCCGGUGGCUAUGGUCCUGAUUUGCCCCCUAGUCUAGGAACCUCCACAUGCUGUGGGUGUGGUCCUAAAAGGACAGAAAAAAAAAGUGGGGGAAGAAAAAAAUCAAAUUGACUAUUUCUUUGGCAAUAAAUGAAUCUUCACAGGCCUUCUUUAGGACCUGUCCAUUCAAAUGUUCAUUAAACAACUAUUAUUGAUUAUUUUCUAUAUAUCAAAUAUUGCUUAGCUGCUGAGGAAUACAGUAGUGAACAAAAGAAAAUCUCUCAUCUCAUGGCACUUUUAUUCCAGUGGGGAUUCCAGAAAAUAUGUCAGUAAAUAUAUUCAUUCCCACACAAUUUUUACUACAUUGUAUACUUCAUACUGAAAACAAAAACAAACAAACAAAAAGCUACCUAAAACUAAUUGGUUUGGAUUGUGGCUUGGAAGCAAGCUAUUGUUAAGUUCUUAUAGUUGAAUGGAAAGGAAAAGAAACAAAAGACUACAAUGACAUUUGGUGUCAACCACACACAUCAAUUCACAAAUAUACCUACUUAAGUAAUAGACAACCAAAAGAGGUUUCACUUGUGGCAGAAGUAAACAAGACAUGAGCAAGCUUCUAUCUAGUGUCCUUUAUUGGUAUAAAAAUAGUCUUAAAUCCCUGUCUUCAACCACUAGAGUUACAAGUUAAAGACCCCAAAAGGAAGGAUUCACCAAAAUAAGUACAACAUGAAUAUAGUUAAUGACACCUGAGAAACCUAACCUCAGCAGUUGGUCCACUGAUGUAUAAGCAUAGGUGAGAAUGCUCCUGAGUGAUGUGGUGCAGUAAACCCAGAGCUAAAGGCAGCUUCUAUAAAGAAGCUUCAUUCAUAUCCACUUAGGACUGUCCCCAAACUGCAGAAUCUCCUGAAAACCUGGAGAAAAAGUUCAAGUAAGUAUACUAUUUUUCUUUUGGAUAAGGUAGUAAACUGACUCCAGACAGUAGCAUCAGUCCAUUAUUGGACCUCGUUGCUAGAAAUAUUAUUGCUUGUUUCUUAAAAAAAAAAAAAAGUGAGAGAGAGAAAGAAAGAAAUGGAAGUAUGAGGAUUUCUCCAGACACUAAGCCAGACAUGUUUCCUUGCUGAAGUUUGGGAUGAUAGCAACAGCUUCUUGGUUUUUUAUUACAUCUUUGACUAACUAUGCUGUCUAUAGCUUUGUUCAUUGAAUCUAAUAUCACACACAGGUUAUGGGUCCCUAAAGUCAUAAAUUCAAAUUCAUUUUCUUAGUGGGGUUGCUUAUCACUUAGAAUAGUGCUUUCAUUUUGGAACUCCUAGGACUGCUGACUUAAUCUGGAACUCAGAGAUAACUGUGCAGGUGAAACCCUUAAAUAAAAU
rnacentral:lncRNA from 1 species